rnacentral:rRNA from 1 species
GGGAACCUCACCCGGCCCGGACACCGCGAGGAUUGACAGACUGAGAGCUCUUUCUCGAUUCGGUGGGUGGUGGUGCAUGGCCGUUCUUAGUUGGUGGAGCGAUCUGUCUGGUUAAUUCCGAUAACGAACGAGACCCCAACCUGCUAACUAGCCCUCGGGUCCUGCUUCUGUUGGGCCCGACGGAAUGAUUCGCUUCUUAGAGGGACUCGCGGCGCCUAGCCGCACGAAGGGGGGCUAUAA